rnacentral:rRNA from 1 species
UACGGGGGGGGCAAGCGUUGUUCGGAAUUACUGGGCGUAAAGCGCACGUAGGCGGCUAGGUAAGUCGGAUGUGAAAUACCUCGGCUCAACCGAGGAACUGCGUCCGAUACUGCCUGGCUUGAGGUCCGGAGGGGAGAGUGGAAUUCCCGGUGGAGCGGUGAAAUGCGUAGAGAUCGGGAAGAACGCCGGCGGCGAAAGCGAACUCUCUGGUCGGAAUCUGACGCUGAGGUGGCGAAAAGCUAGGGGAGCAAACGGG